rnacentral:lncRNA from 1 species
CCUCCCUGCAAGCUGAGGGAGCCGGCUCCGGCUCCGGCUCCCGCCUUGGCCAGCCCGUAAAGGGGCUCCCACAGUGCAGCGGUGGGCUGAAGGGCUCCUCAAGUGCCGCCAAAGUGGGAGCCCAGGCAGAGGAGGCGCCAAGAGCAAGCGAGGGCUGUGAGGACUGCCAGCAUGCUGUCACUAUGAUGUGUCAUGGCUAGGACUUCCCAAAGCUGCCAUGGAAGAAUAAUGGCUUCUCUCUUUUCCAUCAUCCUGGUCUACAUUUGGCCAUUCAUUGGUGGAAUCUGAUGAGAACUCUCCUGGUAGGUGAGUUGGGAAAAUUGAGUUUUCAGGCUCUGUACCUCCAUGGGGAAAAGGGAGGAGCUUUAAAAAGCAGGAAUGGCAUUGUUUUCAAUGAAAUAACUAAAAAACACUGGACCUCUCUUUUUACCAUGAUUUCACAUCUGCUUGUUUAAAGGAAACUUUAUGAUUUUUUAUGUUGACUAAUGUUCUUAUAAAUCAAGUAAUUACAUCUUGGUGUGGUUCUUUAUAUAAUUUUACAUAUUCAUGGAGUAUAUACAUCUUUGACAAAUGUAGCUUAGGCUUAAUGUUUUGACAUUUCACUCAUUCUAACAAUUUGAUGCAAAUACUCUAUUGAAAUUCUUCCUGCUAAGGUCAACAAAGACUAGUUAUCAAUGCCCAUGGCUCAUUUAAAAUUCUUGUUACAUUUUCUUUUUCUGUGUUAUUAUUAGUAGUAACAGUUCACAUUCUUGAAAUCAUUGUUCACUUGACCUUUGUUCAGUAGGGUUGAACUUUAUUAUGAGCCCUGUCCUUACUCAGCCUCCAUUUCUAUUACUAUUCCUUUUUUUGCCUCCAUUUUACUCAUUUUUCUUUACCAACAUCAUGUUUUUUUCCUAAGUCUUGUUUUCUUCUCCCUUACAGCUCUAUAAAUUAUCUCUGUCUAGCAUUACUCUGAAUAGCUCUAUUUAAAUAGUUCACAAAAAUGAUAAUUCAUAAUCUUUAUAUAUAUAAGAAUAACUUUAAUAUUCAGUGACUUCUCUUUCUGUAUUCUCUCUUUUGGUUACUUCAUUAUUUAUUCAGUGAACUAAAAGAUCAAAUUCAAUACCACAGUUAAAGGCACACAUGGAAACUAUGCUUUCUUUGACUUUUUACCCUGGUCUAGAACACAGCACAAUGUCAAAAAUGAUGGUUAAACAAAUAAGAUAUUUAUCUAAAGAAAACAAAAAACAUAUAUCAUGUAAAUAAAUUUGAGAAAAUGAAGUGGCAGCAAAAUUGUUCAAAACCUCAUCUGUUAGAAACUCAUUUCCCAUACCAGACCAACUCAUUCCAACAGAAGCAUGUGGUGUACAUGAUAAGGAAUCUCUAAGUGAUCAAGACAGAAAUAAAAAGCGAUGUAAGUUAGUGAAUAUAAGUUUUCAUAUGUCGAUGAGUGACAAGUAUUUAUUUAAGAAGAUGUACUAGUCUCUGAAGUGUUUACAUUAAUGAAAUAAACUGGAAGGUUAUCAAAAGCUAACUGCAAAAUCACAAAGAAGACCAAUCACCUUGUUUGCUAAGGCAGCUGUCUGAGAACGUCUCCAGAUUAGGAAGCACACAGGCACCUUGCUUUUCGAAUUUGCAGGAGCCACAUAUAAGUAUAUUUAACAUAGGCAUGAGGAUUAUAGACAACAGCAAAUCUAUUCUAGUGAUGUAAAGUAUAUGUUCCUUAAUACAUCAUUCAGAACUCACCCUUUCUACCACAUCUAAUAUGGAUUGCGUGCCUUAUCCCACCUUUUUAUUUUUUACAUUCCUGGAGCACCGGGUCACAACUUGAACAUCAGUGGUAUCACUGACUGCAUGGAAAUUACCUGGCUACUUGUAUGCCUUCAAACAGAAGACUGAACCAUUUGGAGGGAUGUGUGACUAUACUUUUUUUUUAAUCUUUAUAUCACUUCACAUGGCUCUUAUUAAUUGUUCAAUAGUUGCUGAAUAUUGACACUCAUAUGAGUGAGAAGUCAUGACAAUGACUGCAAUAAACUCAAGUCACCCUUGAAAUAGACAGAAAUGCUUGAGAGAUGCCACUCAGUGAAUCAACUUGAUAAGCAAGGUGUAGGAUUUGUAGAACAGUAAAGGAAAUGGAAUCCAGAUUUGGGGUGUUGAUGGGGAGAUUCUGAACAAUUGGUAAGUAUGUAUAUUAAAUGAAAGAUUUUCAAAUUUCUAAAUGAGCUUUUUAAAAGUACAAUUUACAUACAAAGAAAAUUCACUUUUAAUGUAGUUCUGUGAGUACAGAUAUAUGCAUAUAGUAGUGUAACCAUCACCAUAAUGAAAAUUUAAAGUGGUUCUAACCCCCAAAUUCCUGCAUGUCUGUUGUAGACAACUCCUCCCUCACACUCUCAAUCUUUGUUAGCCACUGCUAUGUUUUCUAUCUCUAUACUCUUACCUUUUCCAUGAUGUCAUAGAAAUAUAAUCUUACUAGACUCUCAGAUUGUCUACUUUCACUUAACAUAAUAAAUUCGAGAUUCUUGCACGUAUGAGUUUUUUUGUUCCUUUUUGAGUAUUAUUGCCUCAUUUAAAGACAUUGUAGUUUGUUUAUUAGCUCACCAUUUGAACAUUUAGGUUGAUUCUAGUUUGGAGUAAUUAUUUUAAAAAUCAACUGGAACCAUUCAAAUACAGGUAGGUUUUGUGAGAAUGUAAGUUUUUAUUUCACUUGUGUAAAUACUAGACUAAAAUUGUGAUGCCACUUAGUGUUUAACUUUCUAUAAAAUUGCCAAACUGUUUUCUAAAGUGGGGUGCCGUUUUUUCUCUUUGUAGGAUCUAUGAGAAUUCCAGUUGCUCCACUUGUAGACACUAAGUAUUGUCAAUUUUUAAAGCAAUUCUACCAAGUGCAUAAUUAUAUCUUAUUGUGGUUUUAUUUGCACUUAUCUGAUAACUAAUAAUAUUACAUAUUACCAUGUACACAUUUUCCAUUCACAUAUAUAUCUAUGAAUGGAAAAUAUAUUUAUAUUUCAUAAUAUAUAUUUCAUUAUAUAUAUAUAUUCCAUAAAUUGUCUUCAAAAGUUUUGCCUAUUAUUACACUUGGUUAUUUUAUGGAGGUAAAGUGGGAUUUUCUUGAGGUAAAGUUAAUAUAACAUAAAACUGAUAAUUUUAAUGUGCACAAAAGCAUUUAGAACAUACACAAUGUUAUGUAACUGUCACCUCUAUAUAGUACCAAAACAUUUUCAUCACCCCAAAGAAAAUUCUGCAUUGAUUAAGCAGUUACCCUGAAUUCCAAUCUCUGCCCCAGCCGCUGGCAAACAUCAAUCUGUCUGUCUCUAAAGAUGUACCUAUUCUGGAUAUUUCAAAUAAGUCAUAUCUCAGAUCACAUACAAUAUGUGAUCUUACUGGCUGGCUUCCUUCACUAAGCAAGAUGUUUUUGAGUUUCACCCCUAUUGCAUUAUCUAUUAAUACUUCAUUUAUUUUUUAUGGCUGAAUAAAAUUCCAUUAAGAUUAUAUAUUGCAAUUUGUUUUUCCAUUCAUCUGCUGAUGGACAGCUGUGUCAUUUCUAUCUUUUGGCUAUUGUGAAUAUCGCACUGUAAACUGUGAACAUACGUAUACAAGUAUUUGAGUACCUGUUUUUAAUUUUUGGGUAUGUAUCUAGAAGUGGAAUUACUGGGUUAAUUGUUAAUUCUAAUUAAUUUUUUAUGUGGCCACCAAAUUGUUUUCUAUACUGGCUGAACAAUUUUAUGUAUUUCUAUAUAUUUUCACCAUUACCGAUUUCAUUUUAAAAAGAAUUAUAUCCAUCUUAGUAGAUGUGAAGUAGUACCUCAUUGUGGAUUAAAUUUAUGUUUUCCCAGUGAGACCAAUGGGAUUGAGAAUUAUUUCCUAUGUUUUUUGUCUAUUUCUCUAUUUUCUUUGAAGAGAUGUCUAUUCAAGUUCUUUGCCCAUUUUUCAGUUGGGCUAUUUGUAUUUUUGUUGUUCAGUUGCAAGAGUUAUUUAUAUAUUCUGGAUAACACAUUCAGAUAGGUGAUUUGCAAAUGUUUUUUCUCAUUGUGUUUGUGAUUUACUUUUUUUUUACAAUGUCUUUUGAUGCACACAUUUUUUAUUUUGAAGUCAAAUUUAUCUGUUUUUAAAAAUUCCAUUGCCAAUGCUUUUGAUAUUACAUUUAUGUUAUUGACCCGUUUUGAAAUCAGAAAAUAUAAGUCUUCCAAAUUUAUUAUUUUUUUAAAGAUUGUUUUUGCUACUCAGGACCACUUGCAAUUGAUUAUGAAUUUAAGAAUAGGCUUUUCCAUUUUUUCAAAAUAAAAGGCUAUUGAUAUUUUGAUAGAGAUUGCUUUCAGUCUGCAGAUUCCUUAGGAAGUAUUGAUAUGUAAAUAGUAAUGUCUUCCUAUCUGGAACACUGGAUUUAUUUCCAUUUAUUAAGGUCUUCCUUAAGCAAUGCUUUCUUGUAUUUAUUGCACAGAUUUUACCUUUUUGGACCAACUUAUUUCUAAGUAUAAGAUUCUAUUGGAACCUACUGUAAAUGAAAUUUCUUUUUUUUUUUUUUUUUUUUUUUUGAUGGAGUCUUGCCCUGUCGCCCAGGCUGGAGUACAGUAGUGGUGUGAUCUUAGCUCACUGCAACCUCCCUAUCCCGGGUUCAAGUGAUUCUCCUGCCUCAGACUCCCAGGUAGCUAGGAUUACAGGUGUGUGCCACCAUGCCAGGCUAAUUUUUGUAUUUGUAGUAGAGACAGAGUUUCACCAUGUUAGGCAGGCUGGUCUUGAACUCCUGACCUUAGGUGAUCCAUCCACCUGGGCCCCCAAAGUGCUGGGAUUACAGGCAUGAGCCACCGCACCCAGCCUGCUUAUUCAUUUUCUUUUGGGGGUAUUUGCUGGUAAUUUAAAGGAAAACAACUCAUUUUUUGUGCAUUGAUCUUGUAUCCUGGACUGUUAAUUCAUUUACCAUUAUUAAAUAACAAAUUAUUAAUAAUAAAUUAAUUAUCAAUUGUGUGUGUGUUCUUUAUUAUU